rnacentral:rRNA from 1 species
AAGUUAUCCUGGCUCAGGACGAACGCUGGCGGCGUGCCUAAUACAUGCAAGUCGAGCGGACAGAAGGGAGCUUGCUCCCGGAUGUUAGCGGCGGACGGGUGAGUAACACGUGGGUAACCUGCCUGUAAGACUGGGAUAACUCCGGGAAACCGGAGCUAAUACCGGAUAGUUCCUUGAACCGCAUGGUUCAAGGAUGAAAGACGGUUUCGGCUGUCACUUACAGAUGGACCCGCGGCGCAUUAGCUAGUUGGUGAGGUAACGGCUCACCAAGGCGACGAUGCGUAGCCGACCUGAGAGGGUGAUCGGCCACACUGGGACUGAGACACGGCCCAGACUCCUACGGGAGGCAGCAGUAGGGAAUCUUCCGCAAUGGACGAAAGUCUGACGGAGCAACGCCGCGUGAGUGAUGAAGGUUUUCGGAUCGUAAAGCUCUGUUGUUAGGGAAGAACAAGUGCAAGAGUAACUGCUUGCACCUUGACGGUACCUAAACCAGAAAGCCACGGCUAACUACGUGCCAGCAGCCGGGUA